rnacentral:rRNA from 1 species
AAAAAAGGUAAGCUACUAAGAGCGAAUGGUGGAUGCCUUGACUGGUAAAGGCGAUGAAGGACGUACUAGACUGCGAUAAGCUACGGGGAGCUGUCAAGAAGCUUUGAUCCGUAGAUUUCCGAAUGGGGCAACCCAAUGUAUAGAGAUAUACAUUACCUAUAUAGGAGCGAACGAGGGGAAUUGAAACAUCUUAGUACCCUCAGGAAAAGAAAUCAAUAGAGAUUGCGUCAGUAGCGGCGAGCGAAAGCGCAAGAGGGCAAACCCAGUGCUUGCACUGGGGGUUGUAGGACUGCAAUGUGCAAGAGCUGAGUUUAGCAGAACAUUCUGGAAAGUAUAGCCAUAGAGGGUGAUAGUCCCGUAUGCGAAAAACAAAGCUUAGCUAGCAGUAUCCUGAGUAGGGCGGGACACGAGGAAUCCUGUCUGAAUCCGGGUCGACCACGAUCCAACCCUAAAUACUAAUACCAGAUCGAUAGUGCACAAGUACCGUGAGGGAAAGGUGAAAAGAACUGAGGUGAUCAGAGUGAAAUAGAACCUGAAACCAUUUGCUUACAAUCAUUCAGAGCACUAUGUAGCAAUACAGUGUGAUGGACUGCCUUUUGCAUAAUGAGCCUGCGAGUUGUGGUGUCUGGCAAGGUUAAGCAAACGCGAAGCCGUAGCGAAAGCGAGUCUGAAUAGGGCGCUUAGUCAGAUGCUGCAGACCCGAAACGAAGUGAUCUAUCCAUGAGCAAGUUGAAGCUAGUGUAAGAACUAGUGGAGGACUGAACCCAUAGGCGUUGAAAAGCCCCGGGAUGACUUGUGGAUAGGGGUGAAAGGCCAAUCAAACUUCGUGAUAGCUGGUUCUCUCCGAAAUAUAUUUAGGUAUAGCGUUGUGUCGUAAUAUAAGGGGGUAGAGCACUGAAUGGGCUAGGGCAUACACCAAUGUACCAAACCCUAUCAAACUCCGAAUACCUUAUAUGUAAUCACAGCAGUCAGGCGGCGAGUGAUAAAAUCCGUCGUCGAGAGGGAAACAACCCAGACUACCAGCUAAGGUCCCUAAAUCUUACUUAAGUGGAAAACGAUGUGAAGUUACUUAAACAACCAGGAGGUUGGCUUAGAAGCAGCCAUCCUUUAAAGAAAGCGUAAUAGCUCACUGGUCUAGUGAUUUUGCGCGGAAAAUAUAACGGGGCUAAAGUAAGUACCGAAGCUGUAGACUUGCACACAACUUAGAUUAUUUAAGUUUAGAAUAUGAGAAACUAAGUUAUGUUUAGUUAUAUUUUUACUGAUUUUUAUAGAGUAAAGAUAGAAAUAAAACUUAGUAAAAUCAGUAAAAAUAUUCUUAGGCUAAAGUUAAGUAGUUUAAGUUGUGUGCAAGUGGUAGGAGAGCGUUCUAUUUGCGUCGAAGGUAUACCGGUAAGGAGUGCUGGAGCGAAUAGAAGUGAGCAUGCAGGCAUGAGUAGCGAUAAUUAAUGUGAGAAUCAUUAACGCCGUAAACCCAAGGUUUCCUACGCGAUGCUCGUCAUCGUAGGGUUAGUCGGGUCCUAAGUCGAGUCCGAAAGGGGUAGACGAUGGCAAAUUGGUUAAUAUUCCAAUACCAACAUUAGUGUGCGAUGGAAGGACGCUUAGGGCUAAGGGGGCUAGCGGAUGGAAGUGCUAGUCUAAGGUCGUAGGAGGUUAUACAGGCAAAUCCGUAUAACAAUACUCCGAGAACUGAAAGGCUUUUUGAAGUCUUCGGAUGGAUAGAAGAACCCCUGAUGCCGUCGAGCCAAGAAAAGUUUCUAAGUUUAGCUAAUGUUGCCCGUACCGUAAACCGACACAGGUGGGUGGGAUGAGUAUUCUAAGGCGCGUGGAAGAACUCUCUUUAAGGAACUCUGCAAAAUAGCACCGUAUCUUCGGUAUAAGGUGUGGUUAGCUUCGUACUAGGAUUUACUCCGAAAGCGAAGAAACUUACAACAAAGAGUCCCUCCCGACUGUUUACCAAAAACACAGCACUCUGCUAACUCGUAAGAGGAUGUAUAGGGUGUGACGCCUGCCCGGUGCUCGAAGGUUAAUUGAUGGGGUUAGCAUUAGCGAAGCUCUUGAUCGAAGCCCGAGUAAACGGCGGCCGUAACUAUAACGGUCCUAAGGUAGCGAAAUUCCUUGUCGGUUAAAUACCGACCUGCAUGAAUGGCGUAACGAGAUGGGAGCUGUCUCAAAGAGGGAUCCAGUGAAAUUGUAGUGGAGGUGAAAAUUCCUCCUACCCGCGGCAAGACGGAGAGACCCCGUGGACCUUUACUACAGCUUGACACUGCUACUUGGAUAAGAAUGUGCAGGAUAGGUGGGAGGCUUUGAGUAUAUGACGCCAGUUGUAUAUGAGCCAUUGUUGAGAUACCACUCUUUCUUAUUUGGGUAGCUAACCAGCUUGAGUUAUCCUCAAGUGGGACAAUGUCUGGUGGGUAGUUUGACUGGGGCGGUCGCCUCCCAAAUAAUAACGGAGGCUUACAAAGGUUGGCUCAGAACGGUUGGAAAUCGUUCGUAGAGUAUAAAGGUAUAAGCCAGCUUAACUGCAAGACAUACAAGUCAAGCAGAGACGAAAGUCGGUCUUAGUGAUCCGGUGGUUCUGUGUGGAAGGGCCAUCGCUCAAAGGAUAAAAGGUACCCCGGGGAUAACAGGCUGAUCUCCCCCAAGAGCUCACAUCGACGGGGAGGUUUGGCACCUCGAUGUCGGCUCAUCGCAUCCUGGGGCUGGAGCAGGUCCCAAGGGUAUGGCUGUUCGCCAUUUAAAGCGGUACGCGAGCUGGGUUCAGAACGUCGUGAGACAGUUCGGUCCCUAUCUGCCGUGGGCGUAAGAAGAUUGAAGAGAUUUGACCCUAGUACGAGAGGACCGGGUUGAACAAACCACUGGUGUAGCUGUUGUUCUGCCAAGAGCAUCGCAGCGUAGCUAAGUUUGGAAAGGAUAAACGCUGAAAGCAUCUAAGCGUGAAGCCAACUCUAAGAUGAAUCUUCUCUAAGCUCUCUAGAAGACUACUAGUUUGAUAGGCUGGGUGUGUAAUGGAUGAAAGUCCUUUAGCUGACCAGUACUAAUAGAGCGUUUGGCUUAUCUUUAAUAAAGCAU